UACACAAUCUGGGCCUUUGUGUGAUUUUUGAAACAUCUGCCACCUCAACUGGUGACGUGGCUGCAAGCCAAUCACGGAGGGUCUCAAGGCGGUUGACCACGCGGGCACCCACGGUAAUUAGAUUUGACAGUUCCUUAGGUUUGGGAUCGAUCGAAUGGUGAUGAAUGCAGGAAAGGGAUCUAACAGUGUGCAGGCCUCCAGAGGGUAAUGAUCGUGAUCCAACAGCUCACAUUCGAGAUGUCGAUCGAAUGGUCUGCAUGUGCUCCCACGGAUCUGUAGGGCGAACGAUCCAACAAUCAGAUGAACAAAUGACUAGAUUGACAGGAUCGGGCAAUCCAAUGACUGGGAGGCGCGUACAGAGGGAAAAGAAGAAAAUGCCAUUAAUGGCAUUUAAUCCAAUGGCUCGAGCACCGCCACGUGGGCUACGAUCGUGCGGCCCAAGAUUUUCGAUGGGUACGUUUAAAAACUCAGCUCAUUCGUUCGGUCACCCGUAACCCUGUUAAGGGAAAAGAAAAAAAACAAAGAAAGAAAAGAAAGGGAAAAAAAACAAGAAGAAUGAAAGAAGAGAAGGAAGAGGGAGGUCAUCAGGACUGCCUCAUAUGGCAGAAUAAAAGAGAAAAUAAGGCAAAACGUGCUGGCAGGAGGCUUAUCGCGAGGGUGGAUGCAGUUCCCAGUCACCUGAAUCCGAAAAUCACAAUUUUCUGAUAGUUUUUCUGGUGACCCACGACCCGCAGUUCGUGAUCAAACUCAGACCUUAGAGGAUGAUCUUUUAUUCCUUUUUCUCUCUGUUUAAAUUUGAUUAAACGUUUUAGAUAUAGCUUGCAUAUAAUAGAACAACUUUAAAGUCCAAAUUUAACCAAAACAAAACAAAACCAUACAGAUUUAUCACUGACCCGGAAAAGAAGUUUUCCCUGCAAGUUUUUUUCUCAACUCUGAGAGACAAUUUUGGAGCUUAAUUCGCACCCCGCACACUUUGAAAUUUUAAGUAUAAUUAAUAGAUAACCCGAAACUUUUGUAGCAUCAAUUUUUAUCGAAUUUCAUCAACCGGGUAGGGAACUAAAAGAUUCCCAAACCGCCUGUUUGACUAAAAACUUGUGUUUUAAUUCGUCAUUUGCAUGAUAUGAGUAUGGGAAUGCAUGAUUUAUUAACUUGUUAGUAUUGUGGGAGAAAUUUAUGUUUACGUGAGGAAAAAUGUAGAAAAUCAAAGUUUGGAAAUUUUGGGAGUGAAAAUUAGGAAAAACUUG
rnacentral:lncRNA from 1 species